CUUAACUCCAAGUCAGUGAAUUCCCCAGUGCUUCCGAGACAAACAAUAGAUAGUAUAAAGACUUUUGGCAGUUGACAGUUCCAUUUGGCUAGGGUUUGUAGCAAAUCCUUCUUAAAACUAAAGCUAUAUUUUUACAAAAUAAAAGCAACUAGCUGAGUUAAUUUCAAGCAGUCACUCAAGAUGUUUGCUUGAUGCAUUAGAAAACCAACUUUUGAAGGAUGUUUGAAUUCUCAUCCCUUUGGACACUACAUGGACACAUGCUCAGAAGAAGGGCCAGAUACCAUCACUGGAAGAAAGAUAACAUCUUCAAUAAAUGAUGCUGAAAAAACUGACUUUCCACAUUCCAAAGAUUAAAUAUAGACCCAUAUCUCUCACCAUGCACUAAACUAAAAUCAAAAUGGAUCAAAGAUCUCAAUAUUAGAACAGAAACACUAAAUCCGCUGGAAGAUAAAAUAGUUAGAAGUCUGGAAGACACUGGUGUAGGAAAAGACUUUAUGAACAAAAUUGCACAGGAUAUUUCAUAAAGAAUCAACAACUGGCAUCUCAUCUUACUUAAAAAAAAAAACUUUUUCACAGCAAAAGAAACCAUAAACAGAUUGAAGAGACAACCCAUAGAAUGGGAAAGAUUUUUGCCAACUAUUCCUCAAAGGACUUAUAUCUAUAAUAUAUAAAGAAUUUUAAAAACUGGACCUCCAAAUUUAAAGGCUCAAUCCAUAGGUGGGCAGCUGAAUUGAAGAGACACUUCUCAGAUGAAGAACGAUAAAUAGGAUAGAAAUAUUUGAAGAAAUGUUCAACAUCACUGUUCAUUUGAGAGAUGUAAGUAAGAGCAAUGCUGAGAUUCCGCCUCACCCCAGAAAGAAUGGUUAUUAUGAAGAAAUCAAAUAAAUAAAUGGUGGUGGGGCUGUGGGGAAAAAGGAACACUUCUCCUCUGUUGGUGGGAGUGUAGACUGGUCAAACCACUGUGAAAAUCAGUGUGGAGAUUCCUCAAAAAACUAAAAUAAGAAGUUCCAUUUGACCCAGCUAUUCCUCUUCUUGGUAUUUUCCUAAAAGAACUGAAAGUAUCAUACCACAGCAACAUAAGCACACCCAUGUUUAUAACAGCACAAUUUAUAAUAACUAAAUCUUGGAAAUAGCCUAAAUGCCCAUCAACCAAUGAAUGGAUAAGGAAGAACUGUUUUUUGGGUUUUUUUGUACAAUGGAGUACUAUUCUGCCAUAAAGAAGGAUGAGCUUGAGACAUUUCUAAGUAAAUGGAUGCUCCUUGAAAUCAGAUUCUUAAGUGAAAUAAAUCAAACAAAUAUAUUUAAAUAUUACAUUGUGUCUCUGGUGUGAGAAGCCAGAAGUAUAAACAAAGACCAAAGUAUAUAAUAGAUAUUGGGAAAUAGGAAAAAAUACUCAAAUGGUAAAGGGAACAAUGAAAAGGGAAGAGGAAAUGGAAGGAAGGAAAAAGAUGAAAAAAUAGAAUACAAAAAUUGGAAACACAAAGCUUUUGUAAAUAACUAGGAGAAGAGGAGUUGAAGAUGGGAGGGGAUUGGGAAAGAAAGAAGAAUCAAGAUAUAAUAUAUACAAGUACAAAUUCCCUCUGACGAUGAAUGUGACCUUUGUGUAUAUCUAAAAUGUACCAAUAAUAUUAAUUUUAAAAACGAAAACAUAAAAGUCAGCUAGAGAUAUUUCAAAGUUUUCUACGGCAGUUUUAAGCUAGUUCCAAAACCUAAUAUCUCACUGUUUGAAAUAAUACUUAGAUUUAAGGGUUAGUCUUUCCCAAAAUAUAUUGUCUUUAACUUGCCAGGAACAGAGUAUACCCUAGAAAUACAGCUCAGUUUGCACUAGAGAGAUUUGAACUAGUUAGAAACUGUGCAUUUUAUAAUUAAGACUACUAUCAGAUAGCUAUGUAUUGUUUAAGGCAAAUCAUUUAACGUCUCCAUAUGUUAUCUUUCUCACUUAUAAAAUGGAAAAACAAUACCUGUGCUCUUUCAGGAAUUUUAAUGUAAGAAAUGUACAUUGUCAGUGGAGUAAAUACUUGGAAAAUUUAACAUACUUUACCAAUGCAAGAUUUAUCAUUAUUCUGUCCUACAGUCUAUAUUAUAAUUCACUAACCAUUGUAAGCCUGGGGUAUUUUGAAAUAUGGCAUACUUUUCUUUCUUUUUUUUUUUCAGUUUCUAUUUUCAAAAUUGGCUCACUGCUUGGAUAUUUGAGUAAAGCAGCUCUUCCUUAUGUCCCCAAUCAUAUGGCUCUUGAGAAUAUAGAGAACAGUGUGAAAAGAGAGGGUGGGAAAACAUUACAGUAAGGACUCAAACUCCAUAGAGUUAUCUUGAUUUUAAGUAUCAUCUUUAAAAAGAAAAUAAAAAAGAGAAAAAAUAAAAAUCUUUUCACUCCUCUAGUAAGACAUCUUCCAUGGCCAGACUUACCUCUCUGAUUUUUGUAACUAUUGUCAAACACCAGUACUAAAUUAUGUUGUUAGAUUUUAUAAAUCUCUCCUCAGCUUUGAUCAAGUUGGCAUGCCCAGUACAAUGCAAGUAUCUUUCUUAAGCUUCCUUCCUUUCAUUGAUUGUCCACAGAAAUGAUUGUUGAGGGGAUGCACACUGUUUGGUUGUAAGGAGCUUAGGGAAGCUAGCAUAGAAAGUAGCAUUUGUUUUCCUAGAUAAUUGUGCCAUCAUCUGAGCACUGACAGAGACAAUGAAAUAUUCAUGAGUUUCUUAAAGGCUUCUGGAAAGAAUGUGCACUGGAAUGGAGUGUUAAUGAGCCAGUCUCUUCUGGUUUCAUGCCAGACAGAGGCUGUUAAAUAAUUAAGGUGUAGCAGCCAGAGUUUACACAGGAGGAGGUAGAAAGUAGCAGUCCUUCUGCAUUGGAAAUGUUCCCCUGCCAUAUUGAAAUGAACACCCAUAUGAUUCCAGUUCUCUUAUAUUCUUUGGAAUGUUUCUUUAAAAAUGACAUGAUAUCCAAUAUAUUGAAUUGUUGAUAAAAACAUACUGCAGGUACGUUCAACUACGUUUAACAUUUUUGAACAUUAUUCAUUUUCCCUUUAUUAGUAUGAUCAGCAUUGUGGUAGGCACUAGGGAAAAACAGAACAAGUAUACAUCCAGAUUCCUACCUUCUCAUAGCUGCAACAUACUGGUUGUUGUGAAGCUAUGGAGAAAUUUACUCCAUGAUCAGUUAUUAAACUGCUUGGAGGUUUAAGGGAGGGUUAUACUAAGGACUGUUACGUCAAGCAAAUUUUCAUGGAAACUGCAAGAUCUUAGUCCUCGAACAAGAGUUUAGAUUUGGAUGGAGAGAAGACAGUAAGGGUUUAUAUGAAGAAUUAUAAACAAUGAACAAAGUACACAGAAAGAAAAACACAAAACAUGCAUUGAAAAUAAUGUUUUCUGAGAAAACAUUAUCAAUAGCCUUACUGAAAUUUGUGUCUGUAUUUUCACAUACUAUGAAAAUAUAAAUAACACAAGAAUAUGUCCUAGAGGGAAUGUUGACUCAAUGUGACCAAGUCUGGACUCACCAGAAAUCCCAAACUCAGAAAAGUAGGGGAGGUACCCACCAGAAGCUGCCUCAGCCUUUCAGCAAAGUAGGAAAAUUGAAUUCUGAGGAGGUUUUAUGCUUGUGAAUCUUUCACAUCAGGUCAUGAAAGCAGACAUUUUCACAGCCUUGCAUUAAGUAUACGGAAUCUCAUGGUUGUUUCAUGAGAAAGUGUUCAUGCUGUUUCCCCUGGUCACUCACACAGACUCAUACAUUACCCUCAGAAUUGUGUCUGAGAUUUUUUGGCAAGGCUGGAAUUUGCAGAUAUUUAAAGACUGUUUAUCUUUCAGCUUCACUUAAACAUCUGCUUCUCACUGAGCACCUGGGGUGCACUCAACACAAGGUUUUAAUAACUCAUCCCCUUCUCUUUCUCUCUUGCAAAAAAAAA
ensembl:lncRNA